GCCCCUCACUUUGGCCGGAUUAAUUUCUUCAUAAUUAAUGCCGAUUAUGCGCGAGGCGGUAGAGUAUAAGAUGGUGGGAAUUCGCCUUCGGUGCCCAUAACGGUUUACUUAAAUCCGCGGGAAUACUAUCAUCCUUGUUUCCCUCCACA
rnacentral:snoRNA from 1 species